GUUGGCGACCAAAACGGAAAGGAAACACUCGUUCCCAUCCGAACACGAAAGUUAAGCUUUCCAGUGAUAUGGACUGUACUGCCUUUUGGCGGGAAACCCAGGAAGUUGCCAACU
rnacentral:rRNA from 8 species